GGGUGGUAAUGCCGGAUGCUCCGACUCCUCGCAUGGGGUGUCGGGAAAGAUUUCAUCGGUAUGGGAUGGGGUCGCGUCCUAUCAGGUAGUCGGCGGGGUAACGGCCCACCGAGCCUACGACGGGUAGCCGGCCUGAGAGGGCGACCGGCCACAUUGGGACUGAGAUACGGCCCAGACUCCUACGGGAGGCAGCAGUGGGGAAUAUUGCACAAUGGGCGCAAGCCUGAUGCAGCGACGCCGCGUGCGGGAUGACGGCCUUCGGGUUGUAAACCGCUUUUGAUCGGGAGCAAGCCUUCGGGUGAGUGUACCUUUCGAAUAAGCACCGGCUAACUACGUGCCAGCAGCCGCGGUAAUACGUAGGGUGCAAGCGUUAUCCGGAAUUAUUGGGCGUAAAGGGCUCGUAGGCGGUUCGUCGCGUCCGGUGUGAAAGUCCAUCGCUUAACGGUGGAUCUGCGCCGGGUACGGGCGGGCUGGAGUGCGGUAGGGGAGACUGGAAUUCCCGGUGUAACGGUGGAAUGUGUAGAUAUCGGGAAG
rnacentral:rRNA from 1 species